AUCAUUGUAAUCAAGUCUCAAAUGGUAUCCACAGCAUUGUAUUCACCGUCCAUAACUGGAGGGUCCAGCAGGACCUUGUUCUAAUUCAUUUGCAGGCCUACAUCAGAACAUGCACAUAGAGAGUUAGGUAAACACGCACGUUCACCCUUAUUUACACAGGGAGGUCAUGUCAGGACAUUCUCUAGUUGGACACACAGGCUCACAGAACUGCACAACAUGACAUGUCACACACUUGUUUUUCUCUAAAGUAUGAUCUGAUGUUUGUAUAAGGAGAACUUUGGACUAUGGGGAGACUGUUAUCAUUUCCAGUAAGGUCUAACUGUGUGAUGUCAUCAGGGGUAAUAUAAGGAUGGGGAACGGUCCACUCUUUGGAGAUCUGUGGCUGUACGCUUGUCUUCCCAUGCUUCUGUCUUAGAAGUGUGUAAUAAAGAUCACUAUUCUGACAUCUACUGAGACCAUGCAGUCGUUUGUCUUCUCCUCAAAACUCGAAUCAUGACAGAAAUUAAAUUAAAUCAGAUCUGAACUGCGUACAUUUAAGGAACCUGUUCAUAUUUAAUAUGAACCAGUGAUUUUUUGAUUGCUGAUUCCAAGAGAGUCUUUGUGGAAAUCCUGUUUGGCUUUUUGUUAUUUUAAUUCUCUUCUCUGUUUUCCAGAACAGUUCUCCACAGUCACUGUCCACAUGGGUCAGUGGCGCCAAGAAGCACUGUGCUAAUGUGGGACUCUGACCAGCAACAUCCAGACCCAGACAGCGUUUUCUGUCUCCCAGCUGGAGGUUUUGUUUGUCUGUAACUGGAGAGUCAGAUUUUUGUUGAGCUUCACACUUGCAGAGGUUAAUACACUCUACUGAUCCCUGAUGGGAGAAUCAUCAAUUUUGGCAACAAAGAAGCCUGGUGGAUGUUUGUUUACAGUCUGAUGAUGGGACAUCAUGCUCUGCAUCGUCAAAGUUUGCCUCCUCAUUAUUAUUCAUACCCAGUAAUGUGAAGUAUGCUUAUAUCUACUAUAACUGAACCAACCUGGUGCUCUUCAUUUAUGGAGGCUGUUGAGUCUGAAUGUUGGAUGUUGUGUAUCUCGUGUUCUCUGGGCUUUGUUGUCCUCAGUCUUUUUGCAGGAUCAGAAAGCAAAACCAGGAGGCGCGUAAAUGUUUCUUCUCCAUGAUGUUUCUUCAAAUGUUUCUUCUGGAUGAUGAUAAGACUGUGACACGGGAUGCCACCUUUGAUCUUGUGAUGAAGCAAAGCUCAGGAAGAAGUGGGAUUAAAUGGUACCCACAUGUGUGCUGCUGAGAAGGAUGUACAGGGGCACCUGCAGCCAAAUCCAAGCCUCAGAGCAGAGCGGCAGUUUGUGCUCACAGAUGGUGACGGUGUGGAGAGACGGUGGUGUUUCCUCAGAAGAACCAGCAGAGUCACAAAGGACACCAGUCCAUCUCACCACCUUGACUUGCUGACUUAUGUUCGUCUGCACUGCACAGAGGAAAUCAACUGACCGAGGAGUGUUUCUGAGUGAGGGGGAGAGGAGUCAUCAUCCAGGUAAAGUGACGUGGAUCAGUGGACACACUUGUCUCCCCUUUAAAGGAGACGAUCCAAGUCAUCCUUAAAUAUGGGCAGCAUAUCAGUCUUGGACUGUCUAACCUGCAGCACUGAAUGACCACCACACAUGAGCAUGUUCCUGCAACAUUCAGCAUCUGAUCCUUCAUCUGUGUGCUUCUGCUUUUGUGUCACAUGUCAAACAGCUGGAGAGGAAACUACACCAGUGUACUGGGAUGUUUCAGCAACACGUGCCAGAUGCUGUUCCUUCAUGGUGACAUCACCAGAGACAGCCCCGCCCACCUCAGGA